UCAGGAUGAACGCUAGCUACAGGCUUAACACAUGCAAGGUCGAGGGCGAGCAGGACGAUAGCUUGCUAUUGUUGCUGGCGACCGGGCGCACGGGUGAGUAACGCGUAUCCAACUUCCCCUUAGUAGGGCAUAGCCCGGUGAAAAUCGGAUUAAUACCCUAUGUUGUGUCAUGAGGACAUCUGAAUAACACUAAAGAUUUAUCGCUAAGGGAUGGGGAUGCGUCCGAUUAGGUAGUCGGCGGGGUAACGGCCCACCGAGCCCUCGAUCGGUAGGGGUUCUGAGAGGAAGGUCCCCCACACUGGUACUGAGACACGGACCAGACUCCUACGGGAGGCAGCAGUGAGGAAUAUUGGUCAAUGGGCGUAAGCCUGAACCAGCCAAGUAGCCGUGCAGGAUGACGGCCCUAUGGGUUGUAAACUGCUUUUAUACGGGGAUAAAGUGAGGGACGUGUCCCUUAUUGUAGGUACCGUAUGAAUAAGGACCGGCUAAUUCCGUGCCAGCAGCUGC
rnacentral:rRNA from 1 species